rnacentral:rRNA from 1 species
AUUGAACGCUGGCGGCAGGCCUAACACAUGCAAGUCGAACGAGUGGCGGACGGGUGAGUAAUGUCUGGGACACUGCCAGAUGGAGGGGGAUAACUACUGGAAACGGUAGCUAAUACCGCAUACCAUCAGAUGUGCCCAGAUGGGAUUAGCUUGUUGGUGGGGUAACGGCUCCCCAAGGCGACGAUGCCUAGCUGUUCUGAGAGGAUGGCCAGCCACCAUGGAUCGUCUACACGGUCCAGGCUCCUACGGUAGGCAUCAGGGGGAAAUAUUGCACACUGGGCGCAAGCCUGAGUCAGCACUGCCGCGUGUAUGAAGAUGGCCUUCGGGUUGUAAAGUACUUUCAGCGAGGAGGCGUUACCCGCAGAAGAAGCACCGGCUAACUCCGUGCCAGCAGCCGCGGUAAUAC